rnacentral:misc_RNA from 1 species
GAUGAAGAACGUAGCGAAAUGCGAUAAGUAAUGUGAAUUGCAGAAUUCAGUGAAUCAUCGAAUCUUUGAACGCACAUUGCGCCCGCCAGUAUUCUGGCGGGCAUGCCUGUCUGAGCGUCAUUUCAACCCUCAUGCCCCUAGGGCGUGGUGUUGGGGGUCGGCCAAAGCCCGCGAGGGACGGCCGGCCCCUAAAUCUAGUGGCGGACCCGUCGUGGCCUCCUCUGCGAAGUAGUGAUAUUCCGCAUCGGAGAGCGAUGAGCCCCUGCCGUUAAACCCCCAACUUUCCAAGGUUGACCUCAGAUCAGGUAGGAAUACCCGCUGAACUUAAGCAUAUCAAUAAGCGGAGGA